AUGCUUGAGCUGCGGGAGAUUCGUGCGGCCUGUCCCAGGCCUUGGAUGCUUUGCGGAGACUUCAACCUCAUCCUGCGCGACGUGGACAAGAACAACGGUAACUUAAAUCGUCGUAUGAUGGGCAGAUUCCGUCGCCUCGUCAAUGACCUUGCGCUUAAGGAGGUCUACCUCAACGGGCGUCGCUUCACGUGGUCGAACGAGCAGUCCCCUCCCACUCUUGUGCACCUGGAUCGUGUGCUCUGCACCUCGGACUGGGAGGAUGCUCACGGCGAAUGUCACCUUCGCUGCCUUGCGCGGUCAUCUCGGACCACUCCCCCCUGCUGCUGGACUGCUCCCCCAUGCUCACGGCGCAUAGACGUUUUCAUUUUGAGGACUUCUGGUUGA
rnacentral:rRNA from 1 species